rnacentral:misc_RNA from 1 species
AAGUCGUAACAAGGUCUCCGUAGGUGAACCUGCGGAGGGAUCAUUAACACGUAUCCACGUAAACACCUGUGAACUUGUGUCUCUGUACCUGCGGUGGGCCGGAAGGGUUGGGCGAGUUGAGCCUACAGGAAGGCUUGCUUCAGUGUGCGCCUAUCGUACCAAAUUUUCUACAGUGUAACCGAACGUCCUGAAAACAUUCCUGGGCUGGCUAACGCUGACUCAUGAAUUAAAACAACAACACAUUCGUACAACUCUUAGCAACGGAUAUCUUGGUUCUC